CAGUCGCCGCGGUAAUACGUAGGGUGCAAGCGUUAAUCGGAAUUACUGGGCGUAAAGCGUGCGCAGGCGGUUUGUUAAGACAGAUGUGAAAUCCCCGGGCUCAACCUGGGAACUGCAUUUGUGACUGGCAAGCUAGAGUCUGGCAGAGGGGGGUGGAAUUCCGCGUGUAGCAGUGAAAUGCGUAGAUAUGCGGAGGAACACCGAUGGCGAAGGCAGCCCCCUGGGCCAACACUGACGCUCAUGCACGAAAGCGUGGGGAGCAAACAGGAUUAGAGACCCCCGUAGUCCCUGUCUCUUAUAC
rnacentral:rRNA from 1 species